CAGCCAGAAUGAGGAAUCUUCGAAAGUUAUGCAUUGGAAAAGAAGGGAGCACAUACCGUAAGAACAAGCCUUCUCAUCUGUAGGGAGAGCUGCCCAUUAUUCUUCUUCGAGAGGAAUCCAAGAGAAACAACAGGAACAAAACAUUCUUUCAAUGGGAAAUCAUAAUAAAGGAGCAGUCUAAUAGUCAGUCAAAAAGCACUUUCAAAUGAUGAACUUGCUAAUGCAACUUAUUCUACUACAUGCUAGAAGCAAACCAAC
rnacentral:lncRNA from 1 species